CCUCUAAUCGUCGCUCUGCCUUCCCCGCAACGCUCGAAGUGCGCGUCGCAUAAUUAUAAUAAUAUAUUAUUGAAUCGCGGACGGUCGACUGCGUUAUUCGUUCGCGGUUCACUUCGCGUCGUUGCCGCCCGAUGUGCGCGUGGCAGCCAAGCGGCACGUAAACAAUCCACACAUCCACCGCCGCUGACGAGCAGAGCCAUAGUGACGGCGCGCGGCGGCGUAUUUACCCGGG